UACGAAGGGUGCAAGCGUUACUCGGAAUUACUGGGCGUAAAGCGUGAGUAGGUGGUUUCUUAAGUCUGCUGUGAAAGCCCCGGGCUCAACCUGGGAAUUGCAGUGGAUACUGGGGAGCUAGAGUGCGGUAGAGGGUAGUGGAAUUCCCGGUGUAGCGGUGAAAUGCGUAGAGAUCGGGAAGAACACCAGUGGCGAAGGCGGCUACCUGGACCAGCACUGACACUGAGUCACGAAAGCGUGGGGAGCAAACGGG
rnacentral:rRNA from 1 species